UCAUAUGAUUAGGCAAGUCAAGUAAAUGUGCGUUAGAUCCAAGCUUUUGCAAAAUGGACAAUGGGUCAAUGGCUUGAGCUUGUGGUUUCUUUAAGGAAUUUUUAGGGUAUCUUUCAGGAUGAAUACGAACUAAGACAUAAUCACAUGCAUGAAUUCUUUAUUUCUACGAUACAUAUCAAUAGCAACUUUGUAAUUUUCAUUACUUUAAGUAAUUUUUUCACCUAAUCUCAGCAUGCAAUCAUGAAUAUGUUGGGCAAAAG
rnacentral:misc_RNA from 1 species